GGGUAACCUGCCUGUAAGACUGGGAUAACUCCGGGAAACCGGGGCUAAUACCGGAUGCUUGAUUGAACCGCAUGGUUCAAUCAUAAAAGGUGGCUUUUAGCUACCACUUACAGAUGGACCCGCGGCGCAUUGGCUAGUUGGUGAGGUAACGGCUCACCAAGGCGACGAUGCGUAGCCGACCUGAGAGGGUGAUCGGCCACACUGGGACUGAGACACGGCCCAGACUCCUACGGGAGGCAGCAGUAGGGAAUCUUCCGCAAUGGACGAAAGUCUGACGGAGCAACGCCGCGUGAGUGAUGAAGGUUUUCGGAUCGUAAAACUCUGUUGUUAGGGAAGAACAAGUACCGUUCGAAUAGGGCGGUACCUUGACGGUACCUAACCAGAAAGCCACGGCUAACUACGUGCCAGCAGCCGCGGUAAUACGUAGGUGGCAAGCGUUGUCCGGAAUUAUUGGGCGUAAAGCGCGCGCAGGCGGUUUCUUAAGUCUGAUGUGAAAGCCCCCGGCUCAACCGGGGAGGGUCAUUGGAAACUGGGGAACUUGAGUGCAGAAGAGGAGAGUGGAAUUCCACGUGUAGCGGUGAAAUGCGUAGAGAUGUGGAGGAACACCAGUGGCGAAGGCGACUCUCUGGUCUGUAACUGACGCUGAGGCGCGAAAGCGUGGGGAGCGAACAGGAUUAGAUACCCUGGUAGUCCACGCUGUAAACGAUGAGUGCUAAGUGUUAGAGGGUUUCCGCCCUUUAGUGCUGCAGCAAACGCAUUAAGCACUCCGCCUGGGGAGUACGGUCGCAAGACUGAAACUCAAAGGAAUUGACGGGGGCCCGCACAAGCGGUGGAGCAUGUGGUUUAAUUCGAAGCAACGUGAAGAACCUUACCAGGUCUUGACAUCCUCUGACAACCCUAGAGAUAGGGCUUCCCCUUCGGGGGCAGAGUGACAGGUGGUGCAUGGUUGUUGUCAGCUCGUGUCGUGAGAUGUUGGGUUAAGUCCCGCAACGAGCGCAACCCUUGAUCUUAGUUGCCAGCAUUCAGUUGGGCACUCUAAGGUGACUGCCGGUGACAAACCGGAGGAAGGUGGGGAUGACGUCAAAUCAUCAUGCCCCUAUGACCUGGGCUACGCACGUGCUACAAUGGGCAGAACAAAGGGCAGCGAAGCCGCGAGGCUAAGCCAAUCCCACAAAUCUGUUCUCAGUUCGGAUCGCAGUCUGCAACUCGACUGCGUGAAGCUGGAAUCGCUAGUAAUCGC
rnacentral:rRNA from 1 species